ACACAGAAUUAUAUGUGGCAUCUCUGAUUGCUUGUCGACGAUUGAUGGAGUGGAAAAAAAGUUUUCUGUGGCGAGUCCAGUGUAACAAGUAGAAGAAGAAACACCAUUUCCGCGAUUUCCCCCGGCAUACUUUUCCUGCAAAUGUUGCAAGAACAAAGUGGACAGCAACCGACCGAAGUUAUACUUUUUCCGCUACUGCCAGCACUCGCUCCCGCAACAUCCGCUUUGCUUUCACUGAGCAAAUGCAACCGAAAAAUAGAACAACAUCCUGUGCGCAAUGUUUUCGUAAUAACGAACCGCAGUUUCCGUCGCGUCCGAUCGGAACUGCUCAGCAGAUUUUUUAUCCACAUAUUCCCAUUGUACACAGGUGUAAACAACUGCAGAUAGCAGUUGCGGUACGUUCUGUAAAAGAUACAACAGUCAAUGUUGAUGGCGUAAACGGUAACGCCAGCAGGAAUGAAUGCAGAAAAUGAUGAUGACGAUAAUCGAUCGGCAGCAAAAGAAGAAAAAGAACCGCAACCACAGGAAGAUAUGCACGAACGAAGAAACGACACGUUUGAUACUCUGUAAAAUGACUGGUAAAGAUUCCCAACGACAACAGUAUUGUAUUGAAUUAUAAGAGGGGCUACAGAAGUUCCAAUGUGAUUGAGUAGUUGAUACAAGAGUUGAUAUGCGGUAAUGAAAUGUUUCCUAUAGGACCCAAUUUGGAUUUCUGUCUCUGGCACCGAAGAAAGUUCAUUCGUAGCGCAUAUUGGACAACAUUAGAGUGGAAUUAGUAAUCACAACCAGAGUGACUAUGCCCUGGGUUAUAGUCUGCAUUAGCUAUUGAGCGCAUAUAUUGAAACCAAACGAAGAGCUCGGAUCGUGGAAUGUUAUUGUUAUUCUUGCUGACUUUUGCAAUCGAGUAUUAAGAUUUCUCGAGUCAAAACGCGACGGUUACAUGUAAGAUAACUUCAACUAUGGUUAUGCGACGAAUUUGUGGAGGAAGUAAAACAGUACUGUGGAAUGCCUACGAUUCUUCAAGAAAAUAUGAUAAUGGAAGGAAACGGCUUUUUGCUUUGCAUAGCUUUGGUGUCCCUAACGGCAGCGCAAAAUUCAUUUUAGCAGCAGCAAAAUUCAGCCUCGUGCAGGUGACCAUCUAAAAUUUCGGAUUGGAAUGGAUUGGAAAGGAGGUUGAUGGACGCAAAUAUGCCACCGAUCCCUUUUCUAUGCUCUCAGUGCAUAGAUAGCUGCGUCAAGGAGUCCGUGGCACAUUCACCGGUAGUACAGCAGUCCAUAUAAGUCCGACUAGCAUCGCUUAAAUGACCGACGUCGUAUGCGGAAAUCUGGUGCUUCACUUGUGCGAACUUCAAACAGAAGGUGCGAAGUGCGACCCUAUGCCAGACACUGUCGCCGUAUCAUCGAAGUCAACCGAUCCGGAGCUCAAUGUCUCAUUUAUCAUUGAUAGCCGUGAUCAGUAGCAAGGUUCUAUACAUGCCAAAUUUAUCACCAUUUAUACAAAACAUCUAACUAACGGUAACCAACCGGAUUCCCAUCAUUAUCGAAUGACAUCGGUCUAGUCUACAAUAUGCAGCAAUCUUCAAUAGCGCCAGAUUUCCCAUCAAGCGGAGCGGUACAAAGUAAGCUCUAGGCGUUCAUCAGGGAGAAUCAUGCGGAAGAAUGCAGCGUCCGGCAGCAGCUCUAUAACAUUGUACACAUGCCAGCGGAUUUACUAAAAAAAAUUAAUUCUAAAUUAAAUUAGGUACUAGUGUCUUAAUUCGCUACAAUUUAAU